rnacentral:pre_miRNA from 1 species
CAACUACUCCCUCUGUCCCAAAUUUCUUGUCUUAGAUUUGUCUAGAUACGGAUGCAUCUAAUACUAAAAUGUGACUUGAUACAUCUGUAUCUAGACAAAUCUAAGACAAGAAUUUUGGGAUGGAGGGAGUACUUU